GGGUUUGCGAGAAAUCUUUGACCCCAGUCGUGAACACACAGAACCAUCAGGCCAUUUGCUAUUAGUGCCCGACAUGCUGAAGACAGCGCAUGGGAAGUGACAACAUGGUCCUCCGUGAUCAUAAGGCACAGUUUAUGCACUUCCUGAAGCUGCUCCCAUCACCUUGUCAUCACAGGAGAAAAUGAAGCGGGUCAGACAGACGCGCAGCGGGGAAGGGCAGGAAGUGUGGGCGGCUGCCUGGGCGCCGUGGGCACUGCCUGGACCCUCCCACAUCAGGGCCAAAGACGGCAGGCUUGGUGCUAAACGGAUCACGACUUCACUGACUGCGCGACACCGUGCACCGGAAAGGUUACCGAAUACACUGGCGCUUGAGGGAAAAGGGGACUCUUGAACUUCCCCCAAGCAGAGUGUAACCAGCACCCUCUGGGAGGGGUGUCCGCGUGUGUGUGUACACGUGCGUGUGCAAAUAACCCCAAGUGCUACUCCUAUAGAGAAGCCUGGAUGUUGUAACCACAAUUUCCUUUUUUUUUUUUCUGUUUGAUUUCUAUACGAAAUUGUGACUGAGUAAUGAACUUCAGAACCACAUAAAUCUGUUUAGGGGAGAAGCAGAAGAAUGACAGAAUUUCUCUUUCUAAACAUCUGAGUCUAGCUUUCUGCUCAGGUAAAGCCUUACACCCGUGACAACACAUCCUGUGACCACAGUGUGACUCUGCUGGGCGUCCUCAGCAGUAACCCAAGGGUGUCACUGAGGAACGGAGGCCACUUCCUGCCAAACACCACACGCUGCUCGCUGGCUGUGGAGGCCACUGAUGGGGCACCAGUAACGAAUGAAGACCUCGAGAGGGCAGCUCACUCAGUACAGUGAGAGCCGUACUACUCCUGAACACCCGCCGAACUCAGCACAAAAGCCUCUGGCCGGGGCGUUAACAAGCUGAGCACGAGUGGGUGCAGACAAAGUUAAGUCGCAAUGCCUUAGGCCAGAAGGACAGACACAUUUUUGCCCAAGGCCCCCAGCACGCCGUCCUUUCGUGCCCCCUGGUGAACUCAGUGCUAUUAGGCACCAGAGGCCUAGUCUUCUUCCUGGUACCCUCUGCUUUACAACUUGAACUAGACCUUAUUUUAAAAGGCCACGCACAGUCGCGUUUUUCAUGAGGGCGAGAGAGGCGUUGCUGUUUUAGUCUGUAUGAAACAUUUUGGCUACGUCCUUGCAAUCUCAUUUUCUAUGCAUUUACCAUAGUUUUCCUAUCACGACCUUGACCAAUUCUUAUUGUACUUCGACUUGUUUAAACGCUUGUCUCCUUAUCUAGAAUGUUAGCUCAGAGAAGGCAGUGACUGGAACAUGAGAUCUGUUACCGCACGAAGGAGUACCAUCUCUUUCAACGGACCCACACAACGGUUCUCACAACCCUCCUCAAGAGCCACCCUGUCCCUCCACAUACCGAAGGCACACACGCUUCUGCUUCUGAACUAACCUGAAAGUCUGUAUCCCGGUCUGCAAACAAGGUCACGAAGAGAUCAAAGCCACAGAGCCCGCCUAAUCGCCCUGAGUCUUUUCACUGAGAAUGAGCUAAAAUAAAGUCCUGGUGAUUUAUGGA